rnacentral:precursor_RNA from 1 species
AGGGAGAAGGAGAGGGAGCGAAAGCUGAAGAAGGAGAAAAAUAAAGAGGGAAAAAAAAGGCUAAAAGAAGUGAAUUUUGUCAGUUUAAAAUGAUUGGUAAUAUUUUCAUCUUUCGGCCAACUAAUUAACCAUUUUUCUUUUCUCCCUUUCUCUUUCUCGCCUUCUCUCUAUCCUUCUCUCUCUAUCCCUCUCUUUU